UAGGGAAUCUUCCACAAUGGACGCAAGUCUGAUGGAGCAACGCCGCGUGAGUGAAGAAGGUUUUCGGACCGUAAAGCUCUGUUGUUGGUGAAGAAGGAUAGAGGUAGUAACUGGCCUUUAUUUGACGGUAAUCAACCAGAAAGUCACGGCUAACUACGUGCCAGCAGCCGCGGUAAUACGUAGGUGGCAAGCGUUGUCCGGAUUUAUUGGGCGUAAAGCGAGCGCAGGCGGAAGAAUAAGUCUGAUGUGAAAGCCCUCGGCUUAACCGAGGAAUUGCAUCGGAAACUGUUUUCUUGAGUGCAGAAGAGGAGAGUAGAACUCCAUGUGUAGCGGUGGAAUGCGUAGAUAUAUGGAAGAAUACCAGUGGCGAAGGCGGCUCUCUGGUCUGCAACUGACGCUGAGGCUCGAAAGCAUGGGUAGCGAACAGGAUUAGAUACCCUGGUAGUCCAUGCCGUAAACGAUGAGUGCUAGGUGUUGGAUCCUUUUCCGGGAUUCAGUGCCGCAGCUAACGCAUUAAGCACUCCGCCUGGGGAGUACGACCGCAAGGUUGAAAC
rnacentral:rRNA from 1 species